UGGGAGGGGCCAUGGGGUAUAAAAAGGGUGAGCUGCGGUCCUUCUGACAGUCUGCUGUAUGCUGUUGCCAGAAGAGGUUGUCUGUGUUGAGCAGGGUGCUCAGCUCUCCACGAGAUGCUAAAUAUCUACUGAGGUUAAAGACUUGUUGAAGUAAAGAGGAGCAUCUCAUCUGACCCUGAUGUCUAUAGUGGAUAUUUAACUGCAGUUCUGUGAGUAUCCCAAGUUAACCAUGAAGAUGAACUGCAAACUGUAAGUCAUUAAUUUCUCAUUACUCUUGGGCACAUUGAUGUAUUUUGGCUUCCUGGUGAGUUAACCUGUUACCUGAAGGUUCAGUUGAGUAUUAAGGAUGUUUUAUUGGUUCGGGGGUUACUUAGGUGUUUGGUUUAUGUUUGUUAAAAUGGUUACAGGUUCCAAGUUAUUGUUUUAAGCUGGAGUAAUCGGUUGGGUUCUGACAUCUUCAGUCUUCUUUCAUUCUACUCUCCUGAGCUCUGCAUCUUCAUCACAUGAGUGCUGCUUUACUGAUGAGGGUGUGGUCUGAGUGAGCAGAGGUGCAUACUGGAAUACAGAGCUGUCUGAAGUCUACAGGUCCGUAGACACGCCCCCUCAGGGGAAACCAAGUGUUUGAGAAACUGUCGUGACGUCAGUUACAUGGACUGGAAUGUUCUUUAAAAUGGACUCAGGGAUUCAGAAGGAGAAACACCAGGGGGAGAUGAGGUGGCUCCUCAUCUCAACGACUAAAACACAACUUCAGUCUGACACAGAGAACCAUGGAACACAUUCAACAGUCCCCUCCAGGCAUCAUGACUCCUCAGGAACAGCUUCAUUUCCAUGAAGGUCUUAUUUGGGGCCAUCCCCAGAUGGAUCCUGGUCCUCAAGAGCCAACCCCCUCCACUGUGUGGUCUUCUGAACAGAUGACCUCCUUCCUGUCCUCAGGCUGACUAAAGCUGCACCGUUUGCAUCUGUGAAGGCCCCUCAUUCAGGAAACCACUGGACUACAAAGACAUGACUUCCGAGACGUUGAAUCAACCUGGGACACAUUUUGGAGACGCCAAUCAUAAUCCAUCACCAAUGUGGGACGUCACUGAAGAAUGUUGUACAUAAUUUACGUCUCUGGAGACAUUGGUUGUUCUGUUCUGGGUGCCCUGGCAGGAGAGCUGGGGGUGGUGAUGGAAUGUUAUUUGGCAUGAGGUUUUUACCCUGCAUGAUUGUUUGGCCUUUUAUGGCUCAGUGGUGUGUGUUUUGGGUUUGACAUGAGAUGGAUGAUUUUUGAGCAUCACUAGGGUUCUACUGUGUGUCUCCCUCUCACACCUGGCAUGGGGUUCUACGUGCCUGUCCUGGGUUCUGUGUGUGUCCGGCUUGCUUCGACCGUGAUAAUGAUCAUACGGGAGUCUGUGUGAUUGGCUUGGGAUAUUGGAAUGGUCAAAUAAAUCAUACCUGAUGGACGGCCACACGUUUACUUAAGGGCCUCCAGUAGACGUGAAGAGCCCAGAGCGACGCUCCGGAGUGUGCUCCAACACACUGGGCAGGAAGGAGGGUAACCAACUCAAGUGUAAAAGGAUGUAAGCGGCGUGUUCAGAUCAGUGUCUUCAAACUAGGACCAAUCAGGAUCAAUGGAGGAUGGACACCAAAAGGAAUUCCCAAUCAGGAUCAAUGGAGGAUGGACACCAAAAGGAAUUCCCAAAGGAGAGUCUGACGUUGGAAAGGGACCUAAAUGGAUAUUCAAUAUAACCUUCAGACCUGUAAUGAGACGGCUCAUCCUACCUGGCUGGAUUGAUGGAGAGCCCUGUGGAUCUUUUCUUGCUCUCAGUUGCACGUCUUCUCAGGCUGAACUGUAUUCGUUUCGGACAGGACUAGCUGAACGAUUGGUUCCCUUAAAUGAGAACCAAUCUGGGAACUCCAACUAGUGUGCUCUUCGAGCUGAAGUUGUGCUCUUAAGCUGAGGAGGUAAGGAAACCUUCCCUGGGGUUUCAAGGUGUAAAGAGGAGGAUGUUUCAAAGUGUUCCAUGGUACUCUGAUGAGGACCGUUGUUGUGUUCCACUGGCUGGGAGGAAGAACCCUCACAUCUUCCUCUUGGCCUUUCUCCUCUGAGUAUCCUGGCGCCAUCUUGAAGGAUAUUCCAGCUCAUGCAACUGAUGUCACGACAGAUUCUCUAACACUUGGUUUCUCCUGAGGGGCGUGUCUAUAGAACUGAAGACUUGAGACGGCACUGUAUCCCAGCAUGCAUCUCUGCUCACUCAGACCACACCCCCAUGAGUAGGAUGCAACAUUCUAGGGAUGGGGAUGUAGAGUUUUAUAAGUAACGAGGGAGCAGACAAAGGUGUUUAGAACACAAUGGCAUGUCAAGUCUGUAAAUCUCUAAACCAUGAAGAUGAUUGGAUAGUUCAGGAAUUGGGCUUCUAUUUAUUAUGAGCAGUCCUUUCGCUCAGAUGCCCACUUCUCACUAGACCUGUACAUGUGUUGGCUGGCUGGCAUGAUUUGCUGUUGGUGAUGAGGCGGUCAAGGUGACGUUGCAGGGCUUAUGGUUGGCUCUCUGUGAGCUAAACGUUUAGAUUUGCUCUGUAUGGUUUGUACCCUGAAUAAUCUAUACAAGUGUAAAAUGUAGACGCGGUUUUGUAUUGAAUGAUUCCAUUGUUCUUAGGCAAGGAUUUGAUAUUUAAAGUUGUUGUGGGACAUACAUGGUAGUUUGGUUCUUUGUAUGGUUUUGAGUGAUAUAGCUUGUACACACUGGGUGCAUAAUAAUGUAAAGGUACCAACAGCAACAAACAGAUCUCCUCAAGGUAAGUCUGUUGGCUGUGUUUUAAUGUAGACCAUCGCUGGACUUCAGGAUCUUCCUCCGUUCAGCUCAAGGUGAGGCGCUGGUUAUGUUUUUUCUUUGGUUGGUUCCGGCCGGAAUGUUCGGAUUCCGGUCGGACGGUUUGUGCUUCCCGCCGUGGAGGUUUCUGAGUGUGGUCACUUUAUUUAGUCCCAAUGGUUAGCAUAGAACGUUGUAGUCUUGAUAAACAUUAGAGGCCACCUGGCAGUUAGUUGGAGCGGAGUCCCCUGAGGGAAUCUGGCAGAACGUUCUGGAUUGUAUUUGCGCAACCUCGAGCCGCUGCCAACGAAAAUAAUUUUUCAUUCGGUUUCCAUUGGGAAUUGUUGCCCCUUAUCUUAAACAACUUAAGUUUGAUAUAAAAUAAUACAUUUAAUUUAAAGGGCGCCUUUCAAGACACCCAAGGUCACCUUACAAAGCAUAAAGUUAUCAUAAAUCGUUUAAAAACAAGACAUUGUGGAAAAAUAAUAAUAGAUAGAUAAAUAAAACAAAAACAAGACAAAACAAACAAUCAAGACAGUGAUCAGUUAGACGUAAAUACAUACUGAUACGUACGUCGUACAAUAUCUUGAUAAUUUUCGAUGGUUGCGCCGUACUUCUAACCACGUUGACGGGACUCGCGCUGCGUACGAAACGGCCUUCUACUUGCGGGCCCAUUUUUGACAUCGGUGAAGGCUGUAAAUCAUUUCAAGCUGGAAGACAUUUUGACAGUUCUUCAACGGAACCCAACACCUGAAUAUGGCUGAGUAAAUUUGAUUUAAUAUCGAUACUGCUUAGUGUUUGUUACUUCAGCUUUUGUACGUUCUAAAUAUCUGCGGCCAUUAAUUGCCACAGAAGUUAAACCCUACCCAAUGGAAUGACGUUAAACAACGACUUUGUUGCAGAGUUGCCAACUGGAUAAUAUCAAAGCUAAAAUUAUGGCCGUUCUUCUCACAUGUUACAGUAGAAGAUUAUCCAGAACUGUACAAGGUUAAAAAGGUAAAAAGUUUGUCCCAAGGUGUGUGCCUCCUCACCCAGAGCCAGACCUCCACCUCCUCACCCAGAGCCAGACCUCCACCUCCUCACCCAGAGCCAGACCUCCACCUCCUCACCCAGAGCCAGACCUCCACCUCCUGUCAGAAGUCGUCCAGAACAGGCGAGGCUGAGAGGCUGGGGACCGGAGGCUUGUGGUGCCAGGGUGGACCGGAGACUGAGGCUGGAGACCAGGGGCCUGCAGCACCGGACCAGAGGACCAGGAAUCCAUGUCUGGAGGAGCUGAAGGAGGAGCCGUGCUGGUGGAGCUGAUGGAGGAGCCCUGCUGAAGGCCCUGCCUGGUGGAGCAGCUGGUGGAGGCCCUGCCUGGUGAAGGACAUCUGUCGUGGGACCAGGACUCUGUCUGAGGGGAGCUGCUGGAGGAGCUGAGACGCUGGAGGACGACUAGGAAUCGAUCAACAAGGAUUCCUCAACGUGUUUCUGGAGCGGAGGCGAGCUGGUAUGGGAGCCGUGAAUCUGGAGGAUGACCAUCACUCUACCAACAAGGAUUGUAAACUUUAGGGCCAGACUCGCGCUGUUUGUUCCAGACCAGGACUCUGGUUGAGGAGAGCUGAUGACGACCUCACUCUACCUACCAGGAUCCUCACCAGGAAUCUGGAGGACUGAUGGAGAAUCCGUACAUCUGGAAGGCAAAUUCUGAGGACAACCAGGACUCUACCAUCAAGGAUUCCUCAUAAGAUUGCAUUAUCUGGACAUAGUGGACUAGACACACCUGAGUUGAACCUCACCUGAUCCUGUUUGGUCGGGGGUAGACACACCUGAGCUGAACCCGCCCUGAUCCUGACAUCCUGCUGCUCCCGUCUCCUCAGUUCAUCUGAGCCUCGUCCUCCAGAAGACCUGCUGAGCUCAGCAGUCUGAGGCUGAUGGAUCAAUGACCUCCAGUGGGACCGAUCUUCUUGACCCAACAUGUAACCGUGUGCUUCCACACGCCUUUCCUUCACGUCUGUCACUAACCUCACUACUUCACUACUCUCUACUGCUUCCUCUUUUCUUCCUUCUCGGUGGUUCAAACCUUUACACUGAAGGCGCGUCUUCCUGCCCUCAGAGGGUUCAGCGUUAGGGUUGAGAGUCAGGGUUUAGAGUCAGGGACAGAGCUGGUCAGGGAGGACUGCUUUUACACAAACCUCUUCACUUGCUUUCGGAAUGGUGGCGGCAUUUUGAAAAGAUUCAUUUGGGAAAAUGUUUUUCUCUCUGCUUUCCUUUACAAAAGUGUAUUCAACUUCUGUCAAGUGUUUUUGUUUAUAUAUUAAAAUCCCACAUUGACUUC